AUACGUAGGUGACAAGCGUUAUCCGGAUUUACUGGGCGUAAAGGGCGUGUAGGCGGUCUUGCAAGUCAGAAGUGAAAUUCCUGGGCUCAACUCGGGGGCUCCUUUUGAAACUGCAGGACUUGAGGGCUGGAGGGGAUAGCGGAAUUCCUAGUGGAGCGGUAAAAUGCGCAGAUAUUAGGAAGAAAACCGUUGGCGAAGGCGGCUAUCUGGAGAGUAUCUGACGCUGAGGCGCGAAAGCGUGGGGAGAAAACAGGAUUAGAUACCCUGGUGGUCCACGCCGUAAACGAUGAAUACUAGGUGUAGGGGGUAUCGACUCCCUCUGUGCCGCAGUUAACACAAUAAGUAUUCCGCCUGGGGAGUACGGCCGCAAGGUUGAAACUCAAAGGAAUUGACGGGG
rnacentral:rRNA from 1 species